CCUACGGGAGGCAGCAGUAGGGAAUCUUCCGCAAUGGGCGAAAGCCUGACGGAGCAACGCCGCGUGAUUGAUGAAGGUCUUCGGAUCGUAAACUCUGUUAUUAGGG
rnacentral:rRNA from 1 species